GUCGAGCGAGAACCAGGGCUUGCCCUGGGGAGAGCGGCGAACGGGUGCGUAUCACGUGAGCAACCUGCCUCAGAGACCGGGAUAACUCGAGGAAACUCGGGCUAAUGCCGGAUGCCCUCGGUGGACCGCAUGGUCCGGCGAGGAAAUGGAUUCCGCUCUGAGAUGGGCUCGCGGCCUAUCAGCUUGUUGGUGGGGUAACGGCCUACCAAGGCAACGACGGGUAGCUGGUCUGAGAGGACGAUCAGCCACACUGGGACUGAGACACGGCCCAGACUCCUACGGGAGGCAGCAGUAGGGAAUCUUGCGCAAUGGGCGAAAGCCUGACGCAGCGACGCCGCGUGCGGGAUGAAGGCCUUCGGGUCGUAAACCGCUCUCAGCAGGGACGAAAUUGACGGUACCUGCAGAAGAAGGCCCGGCCAACUACGUGCCAGCAGCCGCGGUGAUACGUAGGGGUCUAGCGUUGUCCGGAAUCAUUGGGCGUAAAGAGCUCGUAGGCGGUUCGAUUAGUCGGGUGUGAAAUCUCCACGCUCAACGUGGAGGGGCCACUCGAUACUGUCGUGACUCGAGUCCGGUAGGGGAGUUCGGAAUUCCCGGUGUAGCGGUGAAAUGCGCAGAUAUCGGGAGGAACACCAGUGGCGAAGGCGGAACUCUGGGCCGGAACUGACGCUGAGGAGCGAAAGCGUGGGGAGCGAACAGGAUU
rnacentral:rRNA from 1 species